AGGGAGUCCCGUUCCCGGUGCUGGGGGUGCUCAACGAAGCUCCGGCGGCCACAGCUUGCGCACCAACACAUGGGCUGCUGACAAACAGGAAACCAACAAGAGGAGUUUGAGAGCAGAGGAAAGAAAAGGAGGAAGGAGGAGAGAACAGCAUGGCGGGGCACUAGCCUGGAUGCGUUGAUGUUGCUGCACGCCGGCGCCACGCUAGACGCACGAGAUGAGCCUGGGACGAACUGGAUCUCCGGUGGCUGAGAAGGAGGUGGCUUGGGGCAUGGAGCUCGGGCACGGGAGGACCUCCAACUGCUGCUCCCGAUCCCCGUGGAUUGAAGCAUGGGAGGAGGCUUGGAGACGAGGUCGAGCGCGGGAGGCCGACGCUUUGAUGGAUGGAUGGAUUUGGGUGGCUGGCUUCGUCUGGCUGCAGUGGAU
rnacentral:lncRNA from 1 species